CCCUACUCCAAGCCCUACGCCUGGACCCAACAAUAAAGGGAGUACACGUCAGGGAAGAAGAAUAUAAAGUGGCAGGAUACGCCUACUCCUCACCCUCACAGAUCCGAUAAAUUCACUCCCACCCCUACUACACACCAUACAAGAAUAUGCACAGGUCUCAGGCUACCGCCUCAACCUGGAUAAAACGGAAGCACUUCCAGUACAAAUCCCCCAGGAGGACCUAGACUUAUUAAAAAUAAACUAUCCGUUUCGCUUCAACCCCACGCAUAUACAGUAUCUGGGUAUAGACUUACCAGCAGACGUCUCCCAGACAUACCGACUCAAUUAUCCCCCCCUACUUCAAAAGGCAACAGCGGACCUUAAAACAUGGGAAUCCCACUCCAUCUCCUGGCUAGGAAGGGUGGCAUGCAUAAAAAUGAAUCUCCUACCGAGGUUCUUAUACCUAUACCAGACACUACCGGUUCAAAUAGUCGCCAAGGACUUUAAACUACUACAAACACAAAUAGAUCGCUUCGUAUGGGCCAACAAACGGGCCAGAAUAAGAAGAGACAGCCUCUACCUCCCGACGCACUCGGGGGGCCUAGGCCUACCCCACUUCCUCCACUAUUUCCACGCAGCCCAACUAGCACAGAUUAAAGCACUACACGCACCCAUCGGGUUGAAAAGAUGGGUAGACCUUGAACAUGACCUGUUCAGACACGAUUUCCCUUCCCUCUACAUCUGGGUCCCAAAAC